AGCUUCCUGAGUCUGUGCUGAGAUCUUACCAAACACCAGCCCAUCAGGACUGAUGAGACUUCCAAGGUUAGUGAAGUG
rfam:Schistosoma mansoni strain Puerto Rico chromosome 2, complete genome